AAUUAAACUGUAAACAUUUAAACAAAUUUGCAUUACACACUUUUUGCUGGUGUUUUUUUUUUCUUACUGGACAUCAUUUAUGUGCUAUGAAUUAUGAGGAAAUGGAAAGCUACCAUAUGGUCAUAACGCACUUGGCAGAAAUUCCUCUUUCUUUAUUUAGAAAUUUCCGUUCUAAUAAUUAAUACAAGUGCCUAUAUAAGCAUAUAUUUCAAAUUAAGAUGAGUAUAAAUACCCUUUCCAUGCAUAUACAUAGAUAUUGUCUUAUUUAAAUUUUAUAAACAAUAUAUAAUAAUAUUACGUAAUAAAUUACUUAGAUUACCCCGAGAAUUGGCUCGACCAGGGUUAUUUUUUUAGUCCGAAGGCCACCAACGCAGGAAGGAGUUUUACGCGAAAGUAUUUUAGUCACCACGGGUAUUGGCUCGACCAGCGUACUUUGUUCAUAAUGCCAAAAAUUUUAAUUUAUUCUUCAAAAUCUAUGUCAUCUACCACAAUGUAAUCCCGCUUGGCUAUUCUUCAAUGUGAGUAGCGAUUCACGAUUAAUGUCCUCAAUUGACUCAAAACGAUUUCCACGGAGCGGCCGUUUGAGUUUGCUGAGUUGUCAGAAGUCACACAGAGUUAAUUCAGUUGAACAUGGUGAUGGCGACAAGACACUAGUUGACAAUUUGGCUAAAAAUUCACGAAGAAUUAACGCAGUAUGCAACAGUGCCAUGUCGUGGUGCACAAACCAUACAUUUUACCAUUUUUCGAAUAGCUUUACGCAAAUGACGCAUAACAUAGAAUUUUUUGUUGACAGUUUAGCCGGUUGGAAGGAAUUCGGAAUACACCACACCUCGACAAUCGCAGAAAACUAUCAAUAUAACAUUGAUUUUUGGCCUCCUUUGACGUGGUUUACCUUUGCAACGAUAUUUGGCCGAUUGAUCAUCUGUUUCCCGGUUGUAAGCAUAGAUCCAUGACUCAUCUUCAGUAAUAAUACGUUUCAUGCCAUCCUGAUAGUCGGAAAGCAUUGUUUCACAGACGUCAACGCGACGCUGUUUUAUUAGGCAUAAAUGAUCUUGAUGAUGGUCUUCACUUAUCCUUGCGGUUUCGUUCUUUCCUGGUUUUAAUUAGGUCAUAUUUGAUGUGAAAUAUUGUCAAAAUAAUGAAAACGGGUAUCACGGUCAUAUAAAAUGACAACCAAAUGAAAACAAUCAAACUUCGAUUUGUAGCAGCAUUAGACAUUUAAAUUUGAUUUGCCGCGAUGUUGGUAAUUUGAUUUUGUUUGCCGUACGAACAGCUGCUAAAAAGGAUAACGUAUUUUCAAAUAGUUUUUUGACGAUUUCGAGGUAAGGUUUAUAUUAUUUUUUCAGGAUAUAAUUUAUUCGUUUAUGUAAUUUUUUUCAGUAACAUGGAACUUCCUUACCACUGAAUAUACAAACAGAACCCUUCGUGAGGCUCAAUAGCAUGAGGUGGCUGAAAUAUUAAAGAUGCGCCGAUCGGAAGUGGCAGCCAAAUGGAAUUCUUCCAGGCGGCCUUUAAUCGUAUAAGUCACACAAAAAGUGUACAAGUGCAGAAAGAGCGCCCACGAUGAGCCCGCUCUAUAUAUCAUUGAAGUUUCUAGAGCCGACUUAGCGUGAUGAAGCGAAUUUCACUUCAAAUCUAAUAAUUGGCAGUCCAUCAGCCUUGAGCUCUCCAACAACAUUGUUGGAAUCAGAAAUUAUAUCUAGGGAUAUACCAUCAAAGCCAUCCACAUCAUAUGGUAAUUUAUUAAACGUCGAGUGCAAAAAGUAUACUCAAGUAGUUGAAUGUGCGCUAGAAAUCUUCGCAUCAGCAACUAAAACAGAUGAUUGUCAUGAUUUAUGAGUUAUGAUGAUGAGAAUCUCCAUAAUUAACAAAGUAGUUCAAGCGGAACAUAUGUAUGUAUGUGAAUUGAUAUUCAACUACUAAAAGAGAUUAACAAGCUCCACAUCAUGCCGUUCAAAUUCGCAAAACUUUUUUUCUAUGCUAGUCAAAUGAAGUGUACUACUUUCCCUUUUUUAUAUUUUCUUCAACGUCAGAAAGCAAAUUUUUAAAAACCAAU